rfam:Bacillus smithii strain DSM 4216, complete genome.
CUCUUAUCAAGAGCGGCGGAGGGAUUAGGCCCAAUGAAGCCCGGCAACCUUCAAGCAGUACUGCUUGAAAAGGUGCUAAGUCCUACAGAUCUUGUAUACAGAUCUGAAAGAUAAGAG